UACAGAGGGUGCGAGCGUUAAUCGGAAUUACUGGGCGUAAAGCGUGCGUAGACGGUAAUGUAAGUCAGAUGUGAAAGCCCCGGGCUCAACCUGGGAAUUGCAUUUGAGGCUGCAUUGCUUGGGUGCGGAAGAGGGAAGCGGAAUUUCCGGUGUAGCGGUGAAAUGCGUAGAUAUCGGAAGGAACACCAGUGGCGAAGGCGGGUCUCUGGACAGUUCCUGACGCUGAGGCACGAAGGCCAGGGGAGCAAACGGG
rnacentral:rRNA from 1 species